AUUUCUGUAGAAUAAUGGUCAUCACGUGCGCUUCACACGCGCAAGGACCCCAGUUCGAGACUGGGCGGAAACA
rnacentral:tRNA from 1 species